UGGGGAAUCUUCCGCAAUGGACGAAAGUCUGACGGAGCAACGCCGCGUGGGUGACGAAGGCCUUCGGGUUGUAAAGCCCUGUCUUCAGGGAAGAAAAAAAUGACGGUACCUGAGGAGGAAGCCACGGCUAACUACGUGCCAGCAGCCGCGGUAAUACGUAGGUGGCAAGCGUUGUCCGGAAUUAUUGGGCGUAAAGGGCGCGUAGGCGGGACAUAAGUCAGGUGUGUAAUCUUUGGGCUUAACCCAGAGUUUGCAUCUGAUACUGGAGUUCUUGAGUGCAGGAGAGGACAGUGGAAUUCCUAGUGUAGCGGUGAAAUGCGUAGAUAUUAGGAGGAACACCAGUGGCGAAGGCGGCUGUCUGGACUGUAACUGACGCUGAGGCGCGAAAGCGUGGGGAGCAAACAG
rnacentral:rRNA from 1 species